rnacentral:rRNA from 1 species
UACGGGGGAUGCAAGCGUUAUCCGGAUUUAUUGGGUUUAAAGGGAGCGUAGGUGGAUUGUUAAGUCAGUUGUGAAAGUUUGCGGCUCAACCGUAAAAUUGCAGUUGAAACUGGCAGUCUUGAGUACAGUAGAGGUGGGCGGAAUUCGUGGUGUAGCGGUGAAAUGCUUAGAUAUCACGAAGAACUCCGAUUGCGAAGGCAGCUCACUAGACUGCAACUGACACUGAUGCUCGAAAGUGUGGGUAUCAAACAGG